UGGGGAAUAUUGGACAAUGGGCGGAAGCCUGAUCCAGCCAUGCCGCGUGUGUGAAGAAGGCCUUUUGGUUGUAAAGCACUUUAAGCGAGGAGGAGGCUACUUGGAUUAAUACUCUAGGAUAGUGGACGUUACUCGCAGAAUAAGCACCGGCUAACUCUGUGCCAGAGCCGCGGUAAUACAGAGGGUGCGAGCGUUAAUCGGAUUUACUGGGCGUAAAGCGUGCGUAGGCGGCUUCUUAAGUCGGAUGUGAAAUCCCUGAGCUUAACUUAGGAAUUGCAUUCGAUACUGGGAAGCUAGAGUAUGGGAGAGGAUGGUAGAAUUCCAGGUGUAGCGGUGAAAUGCGUAGAGAUCUGGAGGAAUACCGAUGGCGAAGGCAGCCAUCUGGCCUAAUACUGACGCUGAGGUACGAAAGCAUGGGGAGCAAACAGG
rnacentral:rRNA from 1 species